rnacentral:rRNA from 1 species
UACGGAGGGGACUAGCGUUGUUCGGAAUUACUGGGCGUAAAGCGCACGUAGGCGGAUUUGUAAGUCAGGGGUGAAAUCCCGGGGCUCAACCUCGGAACUGCCUUUGAUACUGCAAAUCUCGAGUCCGGAAGAGGUGAGUGGAAUUCCUAGUGUAGAGGUGAAAUUCGUAGAUAUUAGGAAGAACACCGGUGGCGAAGGCGGCCCACUGGAUCGGUACUGACGCUGAGGUGCGAAAGCGUGGGGAGCAAACAGG